UACGGGGGGGGCAAGCGUUGUUCGGAAUUACUGGGCGUAAAGGGCUCGUAGGUGGCCAACUAAGUCGGACGUGAAAUCCCUCAGCUUAACUGGGGAACUGCGUCCGAUACUGGAUGGCUUGAGUUUGGGAGAGGGAUGCGGAAUUCCAGGUGUAGCGGUGAAAUGCGCAGAUAUCGGGAAGAACACCCGUGGCGAAGGCGGUUCUCUGGGCCUGACCUGACGCUCAGGCGCGAAAGCUAGGGGAGCGAACAGG
rnacentral:rRNA from 1 species